UUUUUCAUUUAAUACGUUCCAACUCCAGUUGACUGUGGGUAACUAAAACCAAGGCAAGUGAAACCACAGCUGCUGUGAGCUUCAGUAACAGAACACACACAAAGUUUGUCUCGGUGGAAGCUGGGGCGAGGCCCAGCUGGCAUCCUGACGGAAAUCCCCAGUCUCUCUGGCACAGACAGAAUUCCUGCGACAGAUCAGGGCUGCGUGGAAGGUUUCAUUUUUACAGCCUGGAACCCAGAGCCCUUGUGAGCUGUGGAGUGUCACUCACUGCCUCAGCCCCACUCAACUGAGAUGUCUCCUGAGUGAAGACUGUGGAAUGCAGAUUCAGCCCCAGGAUAUACUACUGCAAGGAGGGGUGCCCAUGUAUGACAUCUUAGAGACAGUAGGUGACAGGAUGCUGUAUUCACGCCUGUUCCCUAUAUGUCCCUGCCCCACCCUGUUCCACAUACUUGCAUUGCACUGAAAUGCCCUUAAGCUAAUUGAAGUGUCAUAAGAAUCUCUAUUGAUAGUUAGAUGCCAAUGCUGCGUAGUUACUCCACUGGUAUUUUUUUUUAAUCCACAGUUUGCAUAUAUAUGUGUGUGUAUAUAUGUAUAUAUAUGCAAAUGUUUUUAUGAUAAGUUUCUUUGUCAUGAAAGAUUAAAUUAAAGCACC